GAUGAAAUACCAGGUGAAGGCCGGGUGCGGCAGCUCACCCCUGUAAUCCCAGCACUUUGGGAGGCCAAGGCGGGCGGAUCACUAGGUCAGAAGAUCGAGACCAUCCUGGCUAACACGGUGAAACCCCGUCUCUACUAAAAAUACACAAAAUUAGCUGGGCAUGGUGGCGGGCACCUAUAGUCCCAGCUACUCGGGAGGCUGAGGCAGGAGAAUGGUGGGAACCUGGGAGGCGGAGCUUGCAGCGAGCCGAGAUCCUGUCACUGCCCUCCAGCCUGGGCGACAGAGUGAGACUCCGUCUCAAAAACAAAAAAAAGAAAUACCAGGUGAAGCAUAUGCCCUGCAAGCUUAGGGGUGCUACAGUUGACCACUGUAGCAGUAAAGAUGACUGAAGAAUAGCAUGGGAUGGAUCCUUUCGAAUGCACUUGAGCAGCAGUCUCCAACCACAGGGCCACAGAGCCAGAGGUGAGCAGCAGCUGGAUCUACCAUGAAAGACUUCUGAAUCCAGGAAAAGAGACUGACUGGGUAACAUGUUAUUCAGGGUCUCCCUCUCUUGUCCAAGGCUGGAGUGUAGUAGUGCUA
rnacentral:lncRNA from 1 species